rnacentral:tRNA from 1 species
UCCCUGGCAGUCCAAUGGUAAAGACUCCGUGCUUCUACUGCAGGGGCCCCAGGUUCAAACCCUGGUCAGGGAC